UACGGAGGGUGCAAGCGUUAUCCGGAUUCACUGGGUUUAAAGGGUGUGUAGGCGGGCUGUUAAGUCAGUGGUGAAAUCUCCGGGCUCAACCCGGAAACUGCAUUGGUGACUGGCAGGCUUUGAGUGUGGCAGAGGGAGGUAGAAUUCCACGUGUAGCAGUGAAAUGCGUAGAGAUGUGGAGGAAUACCGAUGGCGAAGGCAGCCUCCUGGGCCAACACUGACGCUCAUGCACGAAAGCGUGGGGAGCAAACAGG
rnacentral:rRNA from 1 species